rnacentral:rRNA from 1 species
CCUACGGGAGGCAGCAGUGAGGAAUAUUGGUCAAUGGCCGGAAGGCUGAACCAGCCAAGCCGCGUGAAGGACGAAGGUGCCAAGCAUUGUAAACUUCUUUUGUCAAGGGACAAAAUCAGGCUCGAGAGCCUGACCGAGGGUACUUGAUGAAAAAGCAUCGGCUAACUCCGUGCCAGCAGCCGCGGUAAUACGGAGGAUGCGAGCGUUAUCCGGCUUUAGUGGGUUUAAGGGGUGCGUAGGCGGGCUGUUAAGUCAGCGGUAAAAGCCCGGGGCUCAACCCCGGCGAGCCGUUGAAAGUGGCUGUCUUGAGAUGUCGUGAGGUAUGCGGAAUGCGCAGUGUAGCGGUGAAAUGCUUAGAUAUUGCGCAGAACUCCGAUUGCGAAGGCAGCAUACCGGCGGCGAUCUGACGCUGAGGCACGAAAGCGUGGGUAUCGAACAGGAUUAGAUACACGUGUAGUC